UGUAUUAAACACUGCCACGCCUGGGAAGACGGCAGGACACACUCCGGCGAGGUGGGCAACAAUCGGCCGGAGCGUUAGGGACUAUUGGGAGAGAAACCGGCGAACUAUACGGGCAUUGUCGAGCAAGACUGCUUUUUGCAUUUGGGCCACCACCGACUUUUUGUUGAGACCAAGCCUCUCGAGAUGUUUUGAGAGGCUUUUAGGGACCAAACCAUUCACCGACACAACUACCGGGAUUAUUUCUGUAGAUUCCACCCUCCACAUGUCGGUCACCUCGUGCGCCAGGUCCAAAUAUUUGGUCUUUUUAUCUGCCUCGGCCUGCACGAGGUUCUCGUCGUAGGGGAUGGUGAUAUCCACCAGAAAUACCCGAGACUCCGUCUGGUCCAUCAGCACGAUAUCAGGCUUAUUCGCAAGAAUAGUCCUGUCCGUAAUGAUGGGCCGGUCCCAGUAGAGCUUGGCACGGUCGUUUUCGAGUACAGCGUCCGGCUGGUACUUAUAAUACGGUAGCCUCUGUUCGAUGAGGCCAUACUUAAGGGCGAGCUGGAGGAUUCUGGCUGCUUGGUUAUGUCUGUGCAAGUACUCAGUGUUAGUUAUUAUUAUUAUUAUUAUUAUUAAUACUGAGAAUGCAGAGAACAUGAAUACUGAAUACGCUUUCAAAUCUGGCACACCGUUAAAUGGAACGCGUUUAGAGCCGACCAAAAAGGGCCCUUCCUGACCCUAGACUUGCUUUCAAAAGGAACCUACUUCUCGAAAGAAAUGGCCUCGUUUAGACUUUUUAAAAUGUUUAAGGUUACUAAAUACUAAAGGUUGACUAAAUUCAAAACUGUCGAGUACUUAUAGGAAAACCCCUUAUAAGUAAGUGUAUGUAUAUGUUUAUGUUAUUAAGUAUUAUAUUAUUAUAAGUAGAGUCCACUCCACUUCUCUAUAUUGGGAAGAGGUGGAAAAUGGUGGUUUUUGUACAUUAAAAAGGUGUUCGCCUACAUUCGGUGAGAUUGUCGAAAAUGUGACUAUAUAGCUCUUUUCACUGGUGGUAGGACCUCUUGUGAGUCCGCGCGGGUGGGUACCACCACCCUGCCUAUUUCUGCCGUGAAGCAGUAAUGCGUUUCGGUUUGAAGGGUGGGGAAGCCGUUGUAACUUACUUGAGACCUUAGAACUUAUAUCUCAAGGUGGGUGGCGCAUUCACGUUGUGGAUGUCUAUGGGCUCCAGUAACCACUUAACACCAGGUGGGCUGUAAGCUCGUCCACCCAUCUAAGCAAUAAAAAAAUAAUAAAAAAUAUAUGUGUAAUUGUGUAUGUAAGGUAAAAGCACUAAUGCUGGACAUUGAACUAAAAGAUGACACUUUAAAAAAAAAAAAAUUCUAAUAAGGAAACUAAACACUUAAAUAACAUUGCUAUUGAUGUUAAAGACACCUAGUACCAUGUAUGAUACAUUCUCAAAAGCUUGCGUACAGUGUUAGAAGCAAAUUUCAAAUUGGCAUCAGUUGACAACAAACAAUGUGAGCAGGUUGACGUUUUGCGCGUAAUUCUUAGCGUAUUCCUUAAGCCAUCUGACUUUUAACAGCUUAAGUUUCGAGCACGAUGCCACCAGUAAAGGGUCGGAUGUUUCAAUACUCUGAAGCCAAUAUUGAAGAAGCCAUAAAAGAAUGUAUAUGUUUGAGGAUUUACUGGUGGCCCUGAGGCCUUUCCAGUUUCACAAGGACAGAAGGGGCGGGAUUUGCUAACAGCUACCCGAGCGCCACCAAGGGAGACCUAACAACUCAAGAGUAGCUGCUUCGCGAAUGAAUCUACUACCGGAUCGGGAUCGCGACCAGCUGAGAAGAUCCGGCGAGAAACUCAACGGGCUGAUGUUUAGGUUAGGUUGAACUCUUUGCAGAGUUCGACGAGUACCAUUACCGGGAUCUCUACUCCUAGUGUUAAAGCGGAAGGCGUCUAAUGUAAGGGUUAUUGGAUCUGUUGGAUCCGUAAGGAGGUGUCUAGGGCGACGACGGUGACUGGCUCCUGCGUGGUCAGGAUUCGGGGAGUAGUCAGCGGCGGCAACGAUAAGGCGAUUAUCAUGACGCAUUGCCUUAUCGAAGUAACGUUCCGACGCGGACUUCAUGUAUUUUUUGAUCGGUUCGAGGUCCAAGUCGUCGUGUAAGUCGACGUUCCUCACGAACCACGGGGCUCCGACUGCUAACCUGCAAAAACGAGAUUGUAGGGAUUGGAGGGUGUCUAUGUGUGUACGGGCCGCGUGAGCAAACACCACACUCGCGUAAGUCAGGACCGGCCUUAUGUAAGCUUUGUAAAGUGUCACCUUGUUCCGAAGGGACACUUUACUCCGCUUACAGAUCAUGGGGUAGUCUGCCGAGAAUAAAAGCGGCACGGUCGCGGACUGAUUUUAUAUGUGGGUGGAAUGUCAUGGAUGCAUCCAGGGUGACUCCCAAGUACUUGACCUUCCUGGUUCAGGAUAUGAGGGGGGGCGUUCCGACAGCUUCUGCGGCAAAGAAAUUUGGAGUUCCACGAGUAACUUUAUUAAAUAAAGUCAAGGGAAAGACACCUAAUAUGCGUAAAAUGGGAAGAAGUUGUUAUUUAACCAAAGAUAUAGAAAAAAUACUCGUAACAUGGGUAAAAGCUAUGGUCAAACAAGGGUUUCCAAUAGGAAAAGUUAAUUUACAAGAUAGUGUUAAGUAAAUAGUUGAUGAUCUUAAUAUUGAUUAUAAUUGUUUAUAAUAAAACUAACGUUAAAGUCGUGUCUAUUAUUAGUGCCAACUGAUGUCAAUUUUUGGUGGAUUUGAUUUUCGAUGCUGUCAUCUUUUAGUGUCUAUGGCAGAACUAACAAGUUUGUAAUUUUUUGUAGAAACUACAACAGUAUUGAAAUAUUUUAUAUGAAAAAAUUGAUCUCUAAAUGUAGCUCUAACAGUAAAAAAAAAGAUUUAAUAUAAUUUUUGAUAAAUACAUUUCAUAAUUGAGAA